ensembl:snRNA U6 U6 spliceosomal RNA
GUGCUGGCUUUGGCAGCACAUAUACUAAAAUUGGAACCACUGAGAGAAUAUUAUCAGGGGCCCUGCUCAAGAAUGACUCCCAAAUUUGUGAAGCCUUCCAUAUUUUU